GGGCCCAAGGAGCUUGUUGGGACGUUCAGGAGACCCCGAGGUGGGAGGUUUUGGACACAACCUGCAUCUCCUCAGAGCGCCUUCGACUCUGGAGGCCGCCGUGUGACGGCCUGACACAGGGCUGCGGGAGAACAUACUAUUUCAUAUCAAAUCAGAUUCUCCACGUUACCUACUCAAGUCAUAAGCGUCUGAAGAAAGUGCUCUGUAAAUUCUCAGCAGAAUAUGCUUUUAACAAUUCUUUAAAAACAAUAAAGUCAUAAUAAAAAUC
ensembl:lncRNA TDRD6-AS1 TDRD6 and SLC25A27 antisense RNA 1